AGGAGUCCGGGGAGAAGAGGGAGACAUGAGGCUUACUUUCAUUCACCAGGCAAGAGCCCCCGCAACCACGCUGGUGAGCAGGCUGGGUCUUGGGAGAAGAGGGAGACAUGAGGCUUACUUUCAUUCACCAGGCAAGAGGCCCCGCAACCACGUUGGUGAGCAGGCUGGGUCUUGGGCAAUAUGCACUAUGGGUGGGAGAAAUUUCCCUCUACACUGGCUUAUGAUUCCAAGUAACUUGAAUGUAGAAAACAGGAAAGAGAAAGGCUUACGGCAUCGCAAAGGGUCACACACGGCUCUGAGAAGUCUCAUCCCACUGCACACAGUGGCACACACCUAUGAACCCAGGAGCGGGGCUCUGAGAGUCCCCGUACUGUGUGGACAAUGUAGCCGAUUCCUGCAGAGCUCUGCAGCAGGGGCUGCACAGCCGGAGACGUGGGGAAGUUACAGGGAAAACUGGCUUCAGGACAGAGGCCACAUGUGAGCAACCCUAAUGCUAUUGUGGUGUCAGUGGACUGCCUAUAAAGACAACACAUAGGACAGGAUUGACGAUGCUUACACAUAAGAAAGCAGCUGGACUGGGCCUGUAUUGCUAGUUUCAUUCGCCAGUCCUCGCUGGCUAGAAACUUCCCAGGAUGUUCUUCCCCUAAAUUCCAAGGAGACACUGACACAAUCACUUUGUUUUACUCUCACUGUUGAAAGACAGCUCAGCUCCAGUGGUAGUUGUCUGCCUCAGAUCUCUGAAUAUAUUAUUCCACUCUGGCUUGUAUCAUGGCUGGUAAGAAAAUCUCCUAUUGUCUUUCUUUUUUUAAGUUGACCUGUGUCUUUAUUUGCUUUUAAGAAAUUUGCUUUGGAACUCAAUAGUUUUUCUAAGCUAUACUUAGGUAUAUCUUUCUUUUCGUCUUUUAAAAACCAUCUUUAUUGCGAUAUAAUUCACAUACUGCACAACGCAUCCCCUGAAAGUAUACAGUCUAAUGGAUUUUAGCACAUUCAUAAAUAUGAGCAACCUGCACUAUAUUUAGAACAUUUUCAUCCCCUCAGAAGAAAUAUCUUGUACUCUUUAGCUAUGUUUCUUAUCCCCCUACUUCCUAACCCCUAAGCAACCACUAACUGGUGUCUACAGAUCUGCCUAGACAUUUCACACAGCGUCGUAUAAUGUGGAGACUUUAGUGCUCUGACCGCUCCCCCCCACCCCCCGGCCCCGGCAGAAUGCCUAAGACCAUGGUUGUACUAAUACUUUUAUGUGUUUUCUAUUAAUUUCUCCAAGUUUUUCUUUUUAUUUAAGAGAUUUCACAUUUUCGGGCAGUUUUAGGUCCACAGCAAAAUUAAGUGGGGAUUUCAGAGCUCUCACACACUCCUCACCCUACCCAUGCUCAGCCCCGCUACCACCGUUAACGUCCUACACCAGACAGCUGUGUCUGUUACAGACGCUGAAUCGGCACUGACAAACCUCAUCCUCGAGUCCACGCUAACAUCGGGGUUCACUUUGUAUACUCAAUGCAUUGUGACAAAUGUGUCCCACACGGUGUCACACACAGUAACUUCACUGCCUACAAACCCUCUGUUCUGGCCACUCAUUCCUUCCUCCCCACUAAACACUGGAAACAUUGACUUUUUACUGUGGCCAAAGUUUUGCUUUUUUCCAGAAUGUCACAGUUGGAAUUUUAUGCUAAGCAGCCUUUUCAGUUAGACUCCUCCACUUAGUAAUAUGAUUUAGAUUCCUCUACGCCUUUUCAAUGGCUUGAUAGCUCAUUUCUUUUUAGUGCUGAAUACUUUUCUAUGUCUGGAUGCACUGCAGUUUAUUUACCCACUCAUCUACUGAGUAACAUCUUGGUUGCUUCCAAGUUUUGGCAAUUAUGAAUAAAGCUCCAAAAAUAUGUCUGUUUUUUGGGUUUUUUUUGGUACCGGGGAUGGAACUCGGGUCCUUGUGCUUGCGAGGCAGGCGGCGGAACCACUGAGCUAAAUCCCCAGCCCCAAAAAUAUGUAUGGAGGUUUUGGUGUGGACAUGUCUUCAUGCCCUCUGGGUAAACAUCAAGGAGCACGAUGAAUGUAUGCUUAAUUUUGAAAGAAACUGCCAAAUGCUCUUCCCAACUGGCUGUACUGUUUUGCAUUCCCACCAGCAAUGAAUGAGAAUUCCUGUUGCCUCACAUCUUCAGCAGCAGCUAGUAGUGUUAGUGCUCUGGAUUUUGGUCUUUCUAAAUAAGUCAUCUCCCUGUUGCACUUUUUUGCAUUUUCCUAACGACAUGUAAUGUACAGCAUCUUUUCAUUGACUUGUCUGUCUGUAUACCUUCUUUGGUGAGAUGCCUGUUCAGGUUUUUUGCCUAUUUUUCAGUUAAGUUGUUUGCUCAUUGUUGAGUUUUAAAAGUUCUCUGUAUACUUUAGAUAACAGAUCUUAAUCAAAUAUGCCUUUUGUAAAUGUUUUCCUCCAGCCUGUGACUUGUUCUUUCACUCUCUGGAUGUCUCCAAUUUUUCCUGAUCAAUGAUAACACCACAGUGGAUGUUUUUAUCCAGACCUCCCUGUUCACAUGCAUGAGCGUUUCUGUAAGGUGGCCUCUGGAGGUGGAAUUUUUGAGGGACAAUGGAACUAAAAUUUGGGAUUUUCCACACAGCUGACCUGAAAACAAAAAGGAACAGCUUAAUCCACUGUCCUACUACCAGCUAAAAAGAAUAAUUAAGUUUACUUACCAUUGGCAAAACUCUGUCCAACAUAGUACUGUAACUCUUU